AACGCGAAGAACCUUACCUGGGCUCGAACGGCUUAAGACCGGGGUGGAAACACCCUCUCCCCUUAAAAGGCUUGAGUCGAGGUGCUGCAUGGCUGUCGUCAGCUCGUGUCGUGAGAUGUUGGGUUAAGUCCCGCAACGAGCGCAACCCUUGUCCUGUGUUGCCAUCAUUUAGUUGGGCACUCUCAGGAGACCGCCAGCGAUAAGCUGGAGGAAGGUGGGGAUGAUGUCAAGUCAUCAUGGCCUUUAUGUCCAGGGCUACACACGUGCUACAAUGGCCGGUACAAAGCGCUGCAAACUCGCAAGAGGGAGCUAAUCGCAAAAAACCGGUCUCAGUUCGGAUCGCAGGCUGCAACUCGCCUGCGUGAAGCUGGAAUCGCUAGUAAUGCCGUAUCAGAACGAUGGCGUGAAUACGUUCCCGGGCCUUGUACACACCGGCUAC
rnacentral:rRNA from 1 species